rnacentral:rRNA from 1 species
CCUACGGGAGGCAGCAGUGGGGAAUAUUGGGCAAUGGGCGAAAGCCUGACCCAGCAACGCCGCGUGAAGGAAGAAGGCUUUCGGGUUGUAAACUUCUUUUGACAGGGAAGAGCAGAAGACGGUACCUGUCGAAUAAGCCACGGCUAACUACGUGCCAGCAGCCGCGGUAAUACGUAGGUGGCAAGCGUUGUCCGGAUUUACUGGGUGUAAAGGGCGUGUAGCCGGGCUGAUAAGUCAGAUGUGAAAUCCGGGGGCUCAACCCCCGAACUGCAUUUGAAACUGUUGGUCUUGAGUAUCGGAGAGGCAGGCGGAAUUCCUAGUGUAGCGGUGAAAUGCGUAGAUAUUAGGAGGAACACCAGUGGCGAAGGCAGCCUGCUGGACGACAACUGACGGUGAGGCGCGAAAGCGUGGGGAGCAAACAGGAUUAGAUACCCCUGUAGUC